GCAUCCUUAGUGUAGUGGAUAUCACGUGAGAUUCCGGUUCUCAAGACAGGGGUUCGAUUCCCUUAGGAUGCG
rnacentral:tRNA from 1 species